rnacentral:misc_RNA from 1 species
CCUCCUUAUACGAUUUAGAACUUAUUUGUUCGUAGUGUCCACACAGAUGAUUGUUAGUUAGUUUUACCCUUUGGGUUGAACUGAUUAAUAUGCUCUUUAAAAAUUUGGAAAAGCUGAUAAUAAAAUUCGUAUGAAUAACACUGUUAUUUGUACAGAGUUUUCAAAAGUAAAAAAGAAUGAUAGCAGUAUCAUUCAGUGCCAAUUUAAUCAUUCAUGAUUAAUUGGUAUCUACUUUAGUAUUCAAUAUUAACUUCUGGCGAAGUUAAACUGUCACAUAACAAAGACCCGUUUGGGUUGUAUGGUUAAGUGACUAAGCGUACACGGUGGAUGCCUUGGCAGUUGGAGGCGAUGAAGGACGUAUUAACUUGCGAUAAGCCUAGUCAAGCUAGUAAAAAGCGCUUGAGACUAGGAUUCCCGA